CAAAAAGGGAUUGCCAGAGACUGUGGUGCAUUUUGACACAUGAUUGCUAUGUGGAUAUAGGAACAGAGCUAUCCUGAUGAUUCCUUUCUGAGAUGGCCAGACAUGGGAGGCUGAAGGGCUAAUGUAUUUGAGGCUCUACUUCCGAUUCUUCCAUCUUCACAUAAUGGACAUUUGUGAGUGCCAAGGGACCCACAUCACAGUGUUCGGAGCCAGAACACACUUCUUCAGAGAGCAGAGGGCCAGGGACAGAGCCACAGAGGGAAGAGAUGGGCGUGUGCUGAGAUCCAGAAUAAAAUGGAUGAAUCAGUUAUCACAGCUAGAUAUCACCUGACAACCUUUUUGCUCAAAGCUAAAAUAGAGAACGCACCAGGCUAUGAAUUUGCACCAGUCUGGGUAAUAUAACCAAGGCAAACCAUUUGAAAAUAUGUGUGAAUAAUCCAGAGUGAUUGGCUUGUCCUGGAUCCAUGUCUGCAGAGGACUUUUCAUCUGCUUUAAAAUGAAGGGUGAGACAGGCAGCUGUGUAUCUGCAGAAAGCAGAAAGUGGGUGAUGUGAGCAGAAAAACAAUGUGAAAUGUGCACAGAAAUUUGGAUAAACCCAAUGAAAUGCGUUCACCCGUGUUCUAUACGCAAGGAGGGCGGCAGGUUGUUGAAGGAGUAAUUUGAAACGGUCAGGUAUUUAAAACUCUGUUUCUAAAGGGUUUUAUGUUUGGAAUAGUAGGCGGAUAUUACGAACGUUGUCGUUUAGCAACUUUCCUUGACGCAUAUGCUGUUUCAUACCAUGUGUCACAACUAAAGGGAAUAAGGUGAUAACCAUGAUCUAAUUUCAAGAAUAUAAAUGGAGUAAAAACAUCAUUUAUGAGGUUCGUGUCUGCUCUGUAAAGCUGUAUACAUGGGUUCAUAAAUUCAAUGAGGUGUAUUUGACUGGCAACGGUCACGACUGCUUGUAUACCUUAUUUGUCGAUAUAUUCAAUUGCAGAGAAAUGAA